GAAAGGGCAUACAUGAAUGUAUGUCUGGAUGUUCACCAGGAGGAAGGAAGCACCUUUCCGGAAGCUGAAGGACAUCCCAGUUAGG
rfam:Clostridium sp. C105KSO13 isolate C105KSO131 genome assembly, contig: {contig151}